UACGAAGGGGGCUAGCGUUGCUCGGAAUUACUGGGCGUAAAAGCGCACGUAGGCGGUCUUUUUAAGUCGGGGGUGAAAUCCUGGAGCUCAACUCCAGAACUGCCUUCGAUACUGGAAGACUUGAGUCCGGGAGAGGUGAGUGGAACUGCGAGUGUAGAGGUGAAAUUCGUAGAUAUUCGCAAGAACACCAGUGGCGAAGGCGGCUCACUGGCCCGGUACUGACGCUGAGGUGCGAAAGCGUGGGGAGCAAACAGGG
rnacentral:rRNA from 1 species